rnacentral:tRNA from 3 species
CUCUCCGUAGCUCAGUUGGUAGAGCAGCUGACUCUUAAUCAGCGGGCCACAGGUUCGAGCCCUGUCGGGGAGACAA